CCUGAUUGAUCCUGCCAGUAGUCAUAUGCUUGUCUCAAAGAUUAAGCCAUGCAUGUGUAAGUAUAAACUAAUUCAGAAUGUGAAACUGCAAAUGGCUCAUUAAAUCAAUUGUAGUUUGUUUGAUGGUACCUGCUACUUCGAUAACCGUAGUAAUUCUAGAGCUAAUACGUGCAACAAAACCCGACUUCUGGAAGGGAUGCAUUUAUUAGAUAAAAGGUCGACGCGGGCUUUGCCCGUUGCUCUAAUGAUUCUUGAUAACUCGAAGAUAGCACGAUCUUUGCGCCGGCGACGCAUAAUUCAAAUUUCUACCCUAUCAAUUUUCGAUGGUAAGAUAGUGGCCUACUAUGGUGGUGACGGGUGACGGAGAAUUAGGGUUCAACUCCGGAGAGCAAGCUUGAGAAACGACUACCACAUCCAAGGAAGGCACCAGGCAUGCAAAUUACCCAAUCCUGACACGGGGAGGUACUGACAAUAAAUAACAAUACCGAGCUCUUUGAGUCUGGUAAUUGAAAUGAGUACGAUCUAAAUCCCUUAAUAGGGUCCAUUAGAGGGUAAGUCUGGUGCCACCAGCCGCGGUAAUUCUAGCUCCAAUAGUGUAUAUUUAAAUUGUUGCAGUUAAAAAGCUCAUAGUUGGACCUUGGGGUGGGCCGACUGGUCUACCUUGCAGUGUGCACCGGACGUCCUGUUCCUUCUACCGGCGAUGCGUUUCUAGCCUUAACUGAUCGGGUUGUGCCACCGAUGCUGUUACUUUGAAGAAAUUAGAGUGCUCAAAGCAGGCCUAUGCUCUGGAUACAUUAGAAUGGGAUAACAUCAUAAGAUUCCGGUCCUAUUGUGUUGGCCUUCAGGAUCGGAGUAAUGAUUAACAGGGACAGUCGGGGCUAUUCGUGUUUCGUAGUCAGAGGUGAAAUUCUUAGAUUAUGAAAAACGAACAACUGCAAAAGCAUUUGCCAAGGAUGUUUUCAUUAAUCAAGAACGAAAGUUGAGGGCUCAAAGAUGAUCAGAUACCGUCCUAGUCCCAACCAUAAACAAUGUCGACCAAGGAUCGGUGGAUGAGAAAUCAAAGUUUUUGGGUUUUAGGGAUUGGUCACAAGGCUGAAACUUAAACGACUUAAGGGAAGGCCACCACCAGGGUUGGAGCCUGCGACUUAAUUUCACUCAACACGGGGAAACUUACCGGGUCCAGAUAUAGUAACGAUUGACAGACUAAGAGCUCUUUCUUGAUUCUAUAGGUGGUGGUGCAUGGUCGUUCUUAGUUGGUGGAGCAAUUUGUCUGAUUAAUUCCGUUAACGAAUGAGACCUUAGCCUACUAACUAGCUAUAUGGAAGUAACGCUUCACAGUCAGCUUCUUAGAGGGACUAUGGCCUUCCAGGCCACAAACUUUUGAGGCAAUAACAGGUCUAUGAUGCCCCUAGAUGUUCUGGGCAGAAUGCACGCUACACUGAUGUAUUUAACAAGUCUAUAGCCUUGGCCGACAGGCCCAGGUAAUCUUUGAAAUUUCAUCGUGAUGGGGAUAGAUCAUUGCAAUUGUUGGUCUUCAACGAGGAAUUCCUAGUAAGCACAAGUCAUCAGCUCAUGUUAACUACGUACCUAACCUUUGUACACACCGCCCGUCACUCCUACUGAUUGAAUGGUUCAGUCAAGUGUUCGCAUCGCGGCGACGUGGGUGGUUCGCCGCCGCUGACGUUGCAAGAAGUCCACUAAACCUUAUCAUUUAGAGGAAGGAGAAGUCGUAACAAGAUUUCCGGAGGUGAACAUACGGAAG
rnacentral:rRNA from 1 species